rnacentral:lncRNA from 1 species
AUGGAGUUUGGGCUGAGCUGGCUUUUUCUUGUGGCUAUUUUAAAAGUGUCCAGUGUGAGGUGCAGCUGGUGGAGUCUGGGGGAGGCUUGGUACAGCCUGGGGGGUCCCUGAGACUCUCCUGUGCAGCCUCUGGAUUCACCUUUAGCAGCUAUGCCAUGAGCUGGGUCCGCCAGGCUCCAGGGAAGGGGCUGGAGUGGGUCUCAGCUAUUAGUGGUAGUGGUGGUAGCACAUACUACGCAGACUCCGUGAAGGGCCGGUUCACCAUCUCCAGAGACAAUUCCAAGAACACGCUGUAUCUGCAAAUGAACAGCCUGAGAGCCGAGGACACGGCCGUAUAUUACUGUGCGAAAGACACAGUGAGGGGACACUGGGGCCAGGGCACCCUGGUCACCGUCUCCUC